rnacentral:rRNA from 1 species
AUUGAACGCUGGCGGAAUGCUUUACACAUGCAAGUCGAACGGCAGCACGGACUUCGGUCUGGUGGCGAGUGGCGAACGGGUGAGUAAUGUAUCGGAACGUGCCCAGUCGUGGGGGAUAACGUAGUGAAAAUUACGCUAAUACCGCAUACGAUCUAUGGAUGAAAGCGGGGGAUCACAAGACCUCGCGCGAUUGGAGCGGCCGAUAUCAGAUUAGGUAGUUGGUGGGGUAAAGGCCCACCAAGCCAACGAUCUGUAGCUGGUCUGAGAGGACGACCAGCCACAAUGGAACGUGGAUACGGUCCAGACUCCUACGGAAGGCAGCAGUGGGGAAUUGUGGAAAAUGAGCGAAAGCCUGGUCCAGCCAUUCCGCGUGCAGGAUGAAGUCCCUCGGGUUGUAAACUGCUUUUGUACAGAACGAAAAGGUUUCUACUAAUACUAGGAGCUCAUGACGGUACUGUAAGAAUAAGCACCGGCUAACUACGUGCCAGCCGCCGCGGUAA